rnacentral:rRNA from 1 species
AGAGUUUGAUCAUGGCUCAGAACGAACGCUGGCGGCGUGCCUAACACAUGCAAGUCGAGCGCGAAUGGAGCAAUCCUAGUAGAGCGGCGCACGGGUGAGUAACACGUGGGUAAUCUGCCUGGAAGUCCGGGACAACCCGCCGAAAGGCUGGCUAAUACCGGAUAAGCCCACGAGGUCUUCGGACCUCGGGGGAAAAGAUGGCCUCUGCAUGCAAGCUAUCACUUCCAGAUGAGCCCGCGACCCAUCAGCUAGUUGGCGGGGUAAUGGCCCACCAAGGCAACGACGGGUAGCUGGUCUGAGAGGACGAUCAGCCACACUGGAACUGAGACACGGUCCAGACUCCUACGGGAGGCAGCAGUGGGGAAUUUUGCGCAAUGGGCGAAAGCCUGACGCAGCAACGCCGCGUGUGUGAUGAAGGUCUUCGGAUCGUAAAGCACUUUCGACCGGGACGAAAACCCGCUGGCUAAUAUCCAGCGGUUUGACGGUACCGGGAGAAGAAGCACCGGCUAACUCUGUGCCAGCAGCCGCGGUAAUACAGAGGGUGCAAGCGUUGUUCGGAAUUAUUGGGCGUAAAGCGCGUGUAGGCGGCUUUGCAAGUCGGGUGUGAAAGCCCUCGGCUCAACCGAGGAAGUGCGCCCGAAACUGCAUGGCUCGAGUCCCGGAGAGGAUGGCGGAAUUCCCGAAGUAGAGGUGAANNUCGUAGAUAUCGGGAGGAACACCGGUGGCGAAGGGGCCAUCUGGACGGACACUGACGCUGAGACGCGAAAGCGUGGGUAGCAAACAGGAUUAGAUACCCUAGUAGUCC